GUUUGAUCCUGGCUCAGGAUUAACGCUGGCGGCGUGCCUAAUACAUGCAAGUCGAACGGAAGUUUAAGCAAUUAAACUUUAGUGGCGAACGGGUGAGUAACGCGUAAGCAAUCUGCCCCUAAGACGAGGAUAACAGUUGGAAACGACUGCUAAGACUGGAUAGGAGACAAGAGGGCAUCUUCUUGUUUUUAAAAGACCUAGCAAUAGGUAUGCUUAGGGAGGAGCUUGCGUCACAUUAGUUAGUUGGUGGGGUAAAGGCCUACCAAGACUAUGAUGUGUAGCCGGGCUGAGAGGUUGAACGGCCACAUUGGGACUGAGACACGGCCCAAACUCCUACGGGAGGCAGCAGUAGGGAAUUUUCGGCAAUGGAGGAAACUCUGACCGAGCAACGCCGCGUGAACGAUGAAGUAUUUCGGUACGUAAAGUUCUUUUAUUAGGGAAGAAUAAAUGAUGGAAAAAUCAUUCUGACGGUACCUAAUGAAUAAGCCCCGGCUAACUAUGUGCCAGCAGCCGCGGUAAUACAUAGGGGGCAAGCGUUAUCCGGAAUUAUUGGGCGUAAAGGGUGCGUAGGCGGUUAAAUAAGUUUAUGGUCUAAGUGCAAUGCUCAACAUUGUGAUGCUAUAAAAACUGUUUAGCUAGAGUAAGAUAGAGGCAAGUGGAAUUCCAUGUGUAGUGGUAAAAUGCGUAAAUAUAUGGAGGAACACCAGUAGCGAAGGCGGCUUGCUGGGUCUUUACUGACGCUGAGGCACGAAAGCGUGGGGAGCAAACAGGAUUAGAUACCCUGGUAGUCCACGCCGUAAACGAUGAGUACUAAACGUUGGGUAAAACCAGUGUUGAAGUUAACACAUUAAGUACUCCGCCUGAGUAGUACGUACGCAAGUAUGAAACUUAAAGGAAUUGACGGGACUCCGCACAAGCGGUGGAUCAUGUUGUUUAAUUCGAAGGUACCCGAAAAACCUCACCAGGUCUUGACAUGCUUCUGCAAAGCUGUAGAAACACAGUGGAGGUUAUCAGUUGCACAGGUGGUGCAUGGUUGUCGUCAGCUCGUGUCGUGAGAUGUUGGGUUAAGUCCCGCAACGAGCGCAACCCUUAUUGUUAGUUACCAGCACGUAAUGGUGGGGACUUUAGCAAGACUGCCAGUGAUAAAUUGGAGGAAGGUGGGGACGACGUCAAAUCAUCAUGCCCCUUAUGACCUGGGCUACAAACGUGAUACAAUGGCUGUUACAAAGGGUAGCUGAAGCGCAAGUUUUUGGCGAAUCUCAAAAAAACAGUCUCAGUUCGGAUUGAAGUCUGCAACUCGACUUCAUGAAGUUGGAAUCGCUAGUAAUCGCGAAUCAGCAUGUCGCGGUGAAUACGUUCUCGGGGUUUGUACACACCGCCCGUCAAACCAGGAAAGGGGGGAGUACCCAAAUUUUUUGGGGGGGGCGCGCCCCCACGCGCGAACCGUAUAAGGUAGGGUCGAUGAUUGGGGUUAAAUAAUAACAAGGUAUCCCUACCGGAAGGUGGGGAUGGAUCACCUCCUUUCUAAGGAAACAAUUAUCAUCUUCAGUUUUGAGAGACUUAAGAAAGUUUUUCAUUGUAACUUGCUUGCAAAUUGUAUUUGCAACAUUUUAAUCUUUUUAAGAUUAAGGGCCUAUACCUCAGUUGGUUAGAGCACACGCCUGAUAAGCGUGAGGUCGGUGGUUAAAGUCCAUUUAGGCCCACCAUAACCACAAAUAGCCAAAAUCUUAAGGGAGCUCUGACAACACCUAAACGAAGGUUGGGGAGUCGAUCGGACCGAGU
rnacentral:rRNA from 1 species